GGGGGGGGGCGAGCCGCCUGCGCUAUCGCGACGAGGGGGCAGGCCCAACGCGGGCCCUCGUGAGCCUGCAGGAUGAUGUCAAACAAGGUCAGCAGCGGAGGCACUUCCUGUUCCGCACCGCUAUUUCUGCUAGCAGGGCGUUUUCGGGUUAGCUCGAUGAAACAGACCUCGGGGAGGGAGGGAGGGAGGGAGGGAGGGGGGGGCGUGAUAAAAAGAAAAAAAUAUAUAUGUAAAUAUAUAUAUAAAUAUAAGCAAUGGGAGAGACACAAAAUGAAAGAAGAACUAGAUCCAACGCAGAAGAAAGUAGAUCCAGCGUGGCUCGGAAAUGUGUCCUACACACCUCGCGAUCUGGCGUGAUUCGUCCGAGAUCGCUUCGUCCAAACGGUCGCGGGCGACGAGCAGAGCCGUCUUUCGGAAAGCCUGAUUGGUGGACCUCCUGGGAUCGGCGGACCGUUCCAGGGCCGAACGCGGGGGAAUGAGCGGGAGGAAAGGUGAUGGCUGCUGUUGUAAAGACACUGUCCUUGAGGCUGAGGUAGUAGAUUGGAUAGUUGUGGGGUUUGCAUCCCCUCUCUGAGGUAACUAUACAAUCUACUGUCUUUCCUAAGGAGACGGUAAAAUCAUCCCAUCGGCGAGUCCUGCGGAGGUCCACCAUUCAGUAUGGCCGAAAUCCCGCUGGAUCCCAUGUUCCACGGCUACGCCACGCUAGGCCAGAUUCAUUUCGUUAUCCCUCUCACACCCAUUAUUGAGCCUUAAACCAGGGAUACUCUGGGGCCCUCGGGGGUCAGGUAGUGCUGCUGGUUUCCCUUCAUUCCCUCCAAUUACGGACUGGUUUAAACCUGCCGCACCGGGUGAGUCUAACCUCUGGCCGAUCAGAAACAUUACUGGACUACGGACUAUCAGGCAGAACAGAAAACAAGCAGUGCCACUGACCUUGAAGGCCAGAUUGAGCAUCCUGGUCUUAAAGGCGCUCAUGAAGAGAGGGAGGUGAAAGGUGUGGGCUUUCACUCCAACCCUAACAAAGCACACCUCAUUCAACUGCUAGAGAUCUACCGUCCUGUAGGUUUUCACUCCAACCCUACCAAAGCUCACCUCAUUCAGCAGCUAGAGAUCUACCGUCCUGUGGGCUUUCACUCCAACCCUAACAAAGCCCACCUCGUUCAACAGCUAGAGAUCUCGCUGAGCUGCUCAUUAGUAUAAUUUGGAGUACAGAAUUAGGGUUGAAAUGAAAACCUACAGGACGGUAGACCUCCAGGAACAGGGUUGGGCAGCCCCGCUCUAAUUGUUUGGGGAGCUCAGGGUCUGAGAGGAGGAGAGCACUCAUCCAUGUGGGUUAGGGGACGCGGUCUCUGUGACGUGCUUACGGACGGGGGUGCUGUGGGGGGUUAGGACAAUUGCAAGGGCCCUGACUGACAGGGGUCCUCAAAAAAAUAUUAGAACAUAAGAUUUUCUGGGGUGGUGGGGCCCAAUGUGAGAUCUUUCCAUGUUCCUAAAAUCCCUGGUGACUCUCCUGCUUAGGAACGUGCCUUCACAAGCUGAGGUAGUAGGUUGUAUAGUUUGGUGGGAGGGAUUGCAUCCUGUUCAGGUGAUAACUAUACAGUCUAUUGCCUUCCUUGUGUGGCACACUGACCACAGGCAGCGAGAAGGAAUCCCCCUACUGGAAAUAUCUCUACUAGACGAGGGCUAGCAUGCCUGGAUCUGAAUGGGUGUGACGGUACGCUACCCGAGCGUGAGCUGGAAGGUUUGUUUUUGUCUGAAUUUUUCAGAAAUGUUUCUGUAAUGAGUUCUGUUGUUUAUGCUGUAAUCAGGAUGUGAUAGUGAAUUGUUGUCGUUCAAUUAAAUGUCUCUGCCUUGCAGUCCACUUACAGGAAAUGGCCAGUGUGGUCAAAACUAUUGAUGCAGCACUGCAAAUAAAUAAAGGGGAAAGAAAAUCUAAG